AACGCACAUUGCGCCCGCUAGUAUUCUGGCGGGCAUGCCUGUCCGAGCGUCAUUUCAACCAUCAAGUCCUAGGCUUGUGUUGGGGAUCUGCGGCUGCCGCAGCCCCCUAAAUUUAGUGGCGGGCUCGCUGUCGUACCGAGUGCAGUAAACAUUCUCACUUAGGGAACGUAGCAUGUUCCGGCCGUUAAACACCCCAUUAUUUAAGGUUGACCUCGGAUCAGGUAGGAAUACCCGCUGAACUUAA
rnacentral:misc_RNA from 1 species